AUCUGGAGUUACCUCUGAAUCCAGAGGUGAUGCACACACGGACUUUGUGAAGUGGACUCAGAAAUGAGGAGAUUAUUCCCUCUGCAGUCAGGAGCUCACCGCCCCCCCCGAGCAGUAUCGAUCGUCUCAUCUAACUCUCGGCUGGAAGAUGCUCCUGAUCCGUUUUGAGCAGAAGAUACUGUCCACCACAGCCUAUGGGAAUUCCAAUUUGUGACCUGUCUUCAACCCUUUCCGUUCGUUUGUUGGGUUUUAAGCAAGAUGACUGGACGGAUUUUUGUAUUGCUUUCUUUAACAUUGUUCAAUUUGAUAUCUGAGUGUGUGCAGCUUGAUUGCAUUUAAAGACUGUUGGGCCUUAAUUAGAAGAGGUAUAUGCUCGUCUAAGUGCUAUUCUAGUUUGUAAAUAAAAUCUUUUCCAUA